rnacentral:rRNA from 1 species
UACGUAGGGGGCAAGCGUUGUCCGGAUUUAUUGGGCGUAAAGAGCGCGUAGGCGGUUCGGUAGGUCCGUUGUGAAAACUCGAGGCUCAACCUCGAGACUGCGAUGGAAACCCCCGAACUAGAGUCCGGAAGAGGAGAAUGGAAUUCCUGGUGUAGCGGUGAAAUGCGCAGAUAUCAGGAAGAACACCCGUGGCUAAGGCGGUUCUCUAGUACGGUACUGACGCUGAGACGCGAAAGCGUGGGGAGCGAACAGG